GUUUUCCCACAUAUUGUUCUUAUGAUAGUAAGUGAGUUUUUUAUGGAAACCCAGAACUGUCCUAGUUCUUUAAAACCAGGUCAAAUUUGGGGACAUAUUUCCAUAGUAGAAUGGAGAAGAGGGUGGAAGUCAUGGGGACUUGCAGUGUCACACAUAGGCAUGUUUCAUGUUCACCAUCUUAGUAAAAAUAUGACAAAACCAGCCCUUCCCCCACCUGAUGGGCCUUCCUUAUCCACCCGGGGAAGGUGAAGACAAAGGCCAUAUAAUCUUGGGAGUUCUAGAGUCCCACCCACUGCCAGUUCCUCUCCAUACUACCACAGCUGAUGCUCUCUGGAACUUGACUCCCUGGCCCCCUCCGCUGAACACGUGCUGG
rnacentral:lncRNA from 1 species